UGUCAGCACAGAGCCUUACGUGGGGCUCGAACCCACGAACCAUGAGAUCAUGACCUGAGCUGAGGUCGAACGUGUACUGACUGAGCCACCCAAGCGCCCCUGGAACCAGGCAUUUAGAAGAGGGUUUAAUAAAGGGACUAUUUUUAAGGCCUGGGAAGGACAAAGGGAACCCAACCAGGGACAGCUCAAGGCCCCAGGGCUGGUAACAGUAUCACAACCCCUAGGCAAAGAGAGAGAGAGAGAGAGAGAGAGAGAGAGAGAGAGAGAGAGCAAUUACUGGACCCCAGAGAGGGUAGCUGUAGUGGGUUGGAAGGUGCUCCCCUUCCCACCAAAGAUUCAUCAAUAUCCCAAUCCCUGGAACCUUAUGAAUGUUACUUUAUUUGGAAAGAGUCUUUACAUGUCUAAUUACGUUAAGGGUCUCAAGAUGAGGGGGUUAUCCUGGAUUAUCCUCAUGGGUCCUAAAUCCAAUGACAAGCAUGUAUAAAGGAAAGGCAGAGGAAGUCUAAGGCAGACAGAAGAGAGGACAGAGGAAAGGAGGAGGCAAUGUGGCCACAGAGGCAGAGAUUGGAGCGAUGGGGCCACAAGUCAGGGAAUGCUGACAGCCGCCAGAGGAGAGAGUCUCCCUCAGAGCCCCCUGAAGAAGCGUGGCCCUCCUGACACCUUGGUUCCAGGCUGGUUUCUGACCUGCAGAACAGCGAGAGAAUACAUUUCUAUUGUUUUAAACCUCUCCGUUUGUAGUGAUUUGUUACAACAGUCCCAGGAAAGGAACACCUUGCACAGUAGCUCUGCGGCAAGGACCGCAUGACACCUGUAGAGGAUCCUGGUCAACCUGGGACAGGGCAGCAAGGAGAGAGCCGGGGUGAACACUCAGACUCUGCUUCCUUCAUUCUCUGACCUCCAGAGGGUGCCUCCACUGGCCAAAUCUGGACGAAAGCUCCAGGGCGCGGUAGCCCCUUGAUGUGGGCCAGCGGGGUUAUCCUCCUGGGACUCAAGCACAUGGAGAAGGUUGGAGAGAGGGUCAGGAGGGCCAAGUGGAAGCUUCCAGCAUGCACGUUAUUGCAGGAGAAGCACAACCAAAUUGGAAUCUUUGGACGGGCUUGGAAGGGUAAGGUGCAAACAUUUACAUACCGUAAACGUGGCAAGAAUUAGUGCCUUGUGGAAGUUUGAUCAACAACGACGCCGAUGACAACAACAACAACAAUGAAAUCUGCCUGGAUGGCCAGGAGAGUGGACAUCCCAGUGAUGUUGAAGUAGCAGAAGAUGGUCUGAUGCUCUGGAGGGGAGGAAGUGACUCCGUGUACACAUCCCUGCUUGCAUGGUAACCAAGAUGCUGGAGGGAUAAGGGCAUGGAAGGAGUGUGAACAGCAGGUGUUUAAGAGGAGUGGGGAAACAGGGUGAGGAGAGGAGGAAUUGGGGAUCUACUAUGUGACCCAAGCCAGACUUCGACAUUUUUGCAAAUUCUGACAUUAUGGUUCAAUCAGUAUUAGGGUCACGGUUGCCCCAUGUAAGGCCCUCACCAUUCCUUCUGCUGACAAGGGAGGACAUCCUCAUAAGACCUAGCCUCGAAACCUUGGAGGGUCCUGAUUCCCAGAAAAGCACGGGGGGGUGAUUCUGUGUCAUUUGGAGGUAGAGACACAGAGCUCAGAGGGCAGAUGUUGGGUUGGGUGAAUUAGAGGAACCUGCAACAUGUCCUGGCUUCAUUGUCCCAGAGGAAAGUUGCUAGGCAGGGUCUGGGGACAGGGCUGACCUCAGAUCUAUCCCAGCCACUGCCCUCUGUGACCCUAGGCAAUGUAUUUUGUCUGUUCUGUGCUUCGGUACAAAGGGAAGAAUGAGACUCCCUCCUUCCAUCUUGAAGAGACUUUGAAAAGAACAAAUAAUGGUAAACAGACCGAGGGGAAUAAAUAAAUAACAACCAGUGAUUUACCAAACAGCACACAAUUAUCUAAUUACAGAGCAGGGAAGCAAAAGAAAAGCCUAGGGAGGUGGAGAUACAGACAGCAUGAAGGUGUGGGCUGCCGAGGGACUAGAAGGAACGAAGAUUUAUUAGCAGGAGAGACAACCUUACCCCUCUUUCCCUCCUCUCAACCGUGUUUGCUUCUGACUUCUAGAUAGUCAAGGGGGGAGGGCGGUCUACACGGUUUCUUCACCCCGAUGUGGGAGGAAUGGGCCUGAGGGAUUGUUCUCUAGGAUGUAAACUGUUAGAAGCUGACACCUUGUGAUACUUCUCCGUGUACCUUGCGAGGCACAGGCAUCAUCGACGACGACCGUGGACCAAGUUGCCAAGGGAACUUGGCAGUCAUUUGCCGAGUACUCCUGAGCCAGACUGGUGGGCAUGUGUUCCCUAGAAGCCCUGUGGCCUGAGGAGAAGUUCUCGUGUGGUGUCUGUUUCAUCAUGAUCAGGACCCGUCUCUGGAAGCUACCUGUUUUUCCACGUUAUCACAAUAAAGAAGAUGACUGCGAUCCUUUCGUAUGCACAGUCGGUCAGCCACGUGGACUGGUUAGACACACACAGGUUGAUCAGCACAUAGAGAUCGAUCAGCUCAUAUGGGUUGAUCAGUGCAUAGAGACUGAUCAGACCGCUGUAUUUUAUGGGAAGGAAACGGACUACAGAAGAAGUGAAGAGACACUCAAGGUCACAUGGCUAUUAGGUAGCAGCAACUUGGCCACUUAUAUUAUGGAGGACCGAUCUACGAUAAUUGUCAAAUCAGAGUUACAGAGAAAAUGCCACAAACUUUCCAAUUAGGAACCCGGAAGUGGUGCUGGGGCGGAGUCAAGUUGAUCUUCCUGCCCUUUUGAUAGCCAAAUGCUCUGCUUGGAUCAACAUUGGUUCACCUUCCAGUGGCUUCUUCUACUCAACUUGGGAUUACACACCCUGUGUUCAGAGUUCAUAGACCCGGCUGGGCUUGCUGAAGAGCAUCUGCUCUCUGCAGUUCUGCGACACCAGACAGAAGAUUCUGGCCUAGCACUCCUUGGUUCUGAAGGAUAAGGGGAGGCCCUUUGGUGAGAAGACCAGUCUUGGAUUUCUGGUUUCUCUGAGAGAGAGAGAGAGAGAGAGAGAGAGAGAGAGAGAGAGAGAGAAAGAGAGAGGCAGAGGCCCUCUCUGCUGGGUUUACAAAGUGACCCCAGAAGCCCUGUUAGCACACACAUGUUGCUCACCUGUAGUUCUUGGUUAAACCCUCCAAAGAUACAGGACACCAUUCACCAUUUUGGGUGCAACAGGGGACUCAUGGGGCCAAAACAGAUACAAACCUUCCGUCCCAUGGGUUAGGAUUGGGAGAAAGACAAAUACCUGAGAGUAUCUGCUGCUCAUAUGAAAGGGACUAUGUGUACACACAUGGGUGAUGGGAUGGCCUUUGGCCAAAAGCAACACAACUCUGACCUGACAGACUUGUAAGAUGGGCUGCUCAUGUGUACCUCAGCCCACGCUGAGGUCACGGGGACCUGUACACCUGACGGUCCUGGGAAAGGAAGGUCUGUAGUCUCUGGAGAAAAUUCAGUAGGGCACAGAAGGAGAGGAGGAGGAGAGGGGCAGGGAGGGAGAGGCCCACCUUGCAAAUCCCUCCUCCACCCCUCCCUCCCUUCCCCCACCUCCCUCCACCCCCACUUCAAGACAGAAGAGCCAAGGGCAUGGGCCAGCCAACUCUGUGGCCUGUUUAUACCCUGUAACCAGAGCCUGUUGCCGCCCAGGCUGCCUGACAGCUGCAGUGAUAAGGGGACGGCUGUCGCUUCGAGAGGAUGGCCUGUACUGGCGUCCAUCUCGGGGGCAGCUUAUCCCGGUCAUUUUCCCAAGCCUGGGGGUGGGAGUGGGAACAGGUGCGGCUGGCUCCCAGCUACCGCUCGGGGGCGGUCCUCCCGAAUCUGAAUCCGGGUGAGCUGGGAGGCCUGUAUUGAACUUCCUCCGGGGCUUUCUCUCCGAACCCCCCGCCUCCCCGUGGGGUUGCUUUCCACAGGGUCAAAGGAGGUGAGAGAGGAGUUCUGCGUGUUUUGUUGGUUUGUUUUCCUCCCUCUUUAUCUUUGUCAUCACA